GACGAACGCUGGCGGCGUGCUUAACACAUGCAAGUCGAACGGAAAGGCCCUGCUUUCGUGCUGUGCCCGAGUGGCGAACGGGUGAGUAACACGUGAGCAACCUGCUCUUCUUUUUCGGAUAACUUCAGGAAACUGGGGUUAAUACCGGACAGCAGCUCCCGCUCCAUUGUGGGGGUUGGAAAGUCUCUGCGGGUGGGGUUGGAUGCGCGGCUUACGAGCUUGUUGGUUGGGUAGUGGCUUACCAAGGGUUUGACGGGUCGCCGGCCUGAGAGGGUGAACGGCGACAUUGGGACUAAGAGACGGCCCAGACUCCAACGGGGGGCAGCAGUGGGGAGUAUUGCACAGUGAGAGGAAGCCUGAUGCAGAAGCGCCGCGGGCGGGAUGACGGCCUGCGGGUUGUAAACCGCUUUCGCCUAUGACGAAGCGUGAGUGACGGUAAUGGAUAAAGAAGCACCGGCUAACUACGUG
rnacentral:rRNA from 1 species